AAGCACAUUAAUAAUGUAUUUAUUGUAGUUUAAUAAAAAGCUUAUUAUAUAUUUAGAUGGACUAACAUAUUUCUCUAAGGAUUCUAAGAAUCAUUCUAGUGAUGAUACGUGGCUACAAAAAAAUGUUACAAUGCUUAAAUAAUAAUAUAUAGAUGAUCAUCUGCAAGAUUCUCCUUUAUUCAUUAUUUUAUUAAACUUUUGAAUUCAUUUUGUCCUAAUACAAGACAAAAUAAAAUGUUAAUAACUCCGUCGGUUCAGUCAUUAUAAAAUAAAGUAAAAAAAUACAUAUCAUUUACACGUGUCGAAUAAGUAUUAGUACACGUCAGUAAGGUGAAAGUGAAAGAAAAAAACAUCGACGUCGAAACCAAACCGGUAAAAAAGACAUAACACCACCAUGUCUGUUGUUAUUGUUAGCUUCGGUCCUACACAGCCAAACAGAGAGAAGAAGCACUAGUAGAAAGAAGAAGAAGAUCAGAGACUUAGUCCUAACUCUAGAUUAAUCAUCAGAGAACAUGCGAGAGACUUGAAGCUUAUCAUCAUCAUCAAUGUGUUCUUCUCUGUUAUCAAUCACGUGACUUUGCAACUUUCUCUUCUCUCUCUCGUUUCUCUCAAAGAAAAAAAACUUCCGUGACGCACGGUGGUUCAUGGCGGUGGAUGUUGAAUCCGUGCUUCAGUUUCUCCGACGUAACGGCUUAACGGAGGCUGAGUCUGCUCUGAGAGACGAUAUCAACGAGAAGAACCGGCUCGCUUCUUUCGACUUCGAGAAGUUUCUCUUUCCGAUUCCUCCGCCGAUCAGAACCACCGUCGAAGAUUCCGGCGAUAACGGUUCGAAGUCUUCUUCUUCCGACGACGAGUUUGUCAGCUUGGACUCUUCCACUUCUGGCUUCUGUUCUUCUUCCGGUUUUGUGAAUCCGUAUGGAGAUGGUUCACCAUCAUCAUCUGAAUCACAGUCUCAAUUUGGUACGGCUCGUACUUACCCUGAGUGGAGUGAGUUUUACUCCCAGACCAACAACAAGGAAGAGACAGAAGAUGAAGAAGAAGAAGAAGAGUUCAUGUCUCCUGCGUUUAGAGAAUCUGAUUUCUUCAUCUUCCCUGGAACUACACAGGAUAAGUACAUCACUGAUAACCAAUUCGAAAAUAAUCUUGGUGUCUACGAUAAAUCAUCAGAAGGAUCUCAAACCGAAACAAGUCUUGAUUACUUAGAUAAGUCUUUUCUUGUUAACAAUGUUGAGGAUCACUACAUUGGUUUGGAUGAUAAAACCGCUCAACUGGAAGAAGAAGAAGAAGAUGCAAAAGACAAUGAUGAUUUUAAGACCGGUGAUCAAGUGAAUGUAACAGAUGAAGAGGUUAAUGUUGUUCAUGACCUUGAAGAAGAGGAGUAUGAAGUGUUUGAUCUAAGAAUCAUUCACUGGAAAAACAGGACGGGGUUCGAAGAGAACAAGGAUCUACCGAUUGUGCUGAACUCAGUGAUUGGAGGAAGGUACUACAUUACUGAAUACAUUGGCUCAGCUGCAUUUAGCAAGGUGGUUCAGGCUCAAGAUCUACACAACGGUGUCGAUGUCUGCCUCAAGAUUAUCAAGAACGACAAAGAUUUCUUUGAUCAGAGUUUAGACGAGAUCAAACUCCUAAAACAUGUCAAUAAGCAUGACCCUGCUGAUGAACAUCACAUCUUGCGCCUGUAUGAUUACUUCUACCACCAAGAACAUCUGUUUAUCGUCUGUGAACUUCUCAGAGCAAACUUAUAUGAGUUCCAGAAAUUCAACCAAGAAUCCGGAGGAGAACCAUACUUUAAUUUAAGCAGACUUCAGGUUAUAACGAGACAGUGUCUGGAUGCUCUUGUGUUCCUUCAUGGACUAGGAAUCAUACAUUGUGAUCUCAAGCCAGAGAAUAUACUUAUAAAGAGUUACAAAAAAUGCGAGGUGAAAAUCAUUGAUCUUGGAAGCAGUUGUUUCCGCUCUGACAACUUGUCAUUGUAUGUACAAUCACGUUCCUAUAGAGCUCCUGAAGUGAUUCUUGGACUUCCAUAUGAUGAGAAGAUUGAUUUAUGGUCUCUUGGAUGUAUUUUAGCAGAGCUUUGCUCUGGUUCUGUUUCCAAAUGAAGCAGUAGCGAUGAUAUUGGCUCGGAUUGUUGCGGUUUUAGGUCCUAUAGAAACGGUAAUGCUAGAGAAAGGUCAAGAGACGGAUAAGUACUUCACCAAAGAGUUUGAUAUUUACCACUUAAACGAGGAGAGCAAUGAGGUUGAAUACAUAAUCACAGAAGAGUCUUGCUUGGAAGAUCAGUUACAUGUUAGUGAUGAACUGUUCUUGGAUUUUGUAAGAAGUCUACUUGAGAUCAAUCCAUUGAGACGUCCAACAGCUCUUGAGGCACUUAACCACCCCUGGCUCUCUUCUUCUUCUUACAAUUGAUUUUUGAGUUUUUAUUGGCUUAUAGUGUUGCCUUGUUCUGUCUGAUUCUUUGUUUCUGUUCUGUUUUUAUUUUCUUGAUUUUGAUUGUGUUUUUGUUUUGUAAUUGUGUGAUUAAUUGUGUAUAGAACUGUUUACAUUAAUUUCACAUUGUAAAUACAAUAUAUAUUUGGUUGCUCUA